rnacentral:rRNA from 1 species
GACAGAGGUGCCGAGCGUUAGGCGGAAUCACUGGGCUUAAAGCGUGUGUAGGCGGACUUCUAAGUACCUUGUGAAAUCCCAUGGCUCAACCAUGGAACUGCUUGGUAUACUGGUUGUCUUGAGCCACUUAGGGGCAGUCGGAACAGAUGGUGGAGCGGUGAAAUGCGCAGAUAUCAGGAGGAACACCGGUGGCGAAGGCGGGUCUCUGGGCCGAUACUGACGCUGAGGAGCGAAAGCGUGGGGAGCAAACAGG